CGAUUGUGAUUUGUUUGAAGGGAUUGGAUGAAUAUAGACUGUCUUAAGAAUAAUUAGUUGAAGUCAAUUUUUUAAUUAAAAAGUUAAAAUAGAUUAAAAAGACGAGAAGACCCUAUAGAGUUUAAUAUUAAAUAUAGUUUAAAUUAUUUAUAAAAUUAUUAACUAAAAAUUUUAUUUAAUAUUUUAUUGGGGUGAUAAAAAAAUAAAAUGAACUUUUUUUGAAAAUAACCAUAGAUAAGUGAUAUAAUGAUCCAAUUUUAUUGAUUAAAAGAAAAAAUUACCUUAGGGAUAACAGCGUAAUUUUUUUUUUUAGUUCUUAUAAAAAAAAAAGUUUGCGACCUCGAUGUUGGAAUCAAGACAAAAUAUAUCGUUGUACUAGUUUUAGUAGGGGUACAUCAUGAAUAAUACGCCAAGGGCCACCGGAGGCACCCCGGAGGCGGCGGAUACUUCUGAACUGUGGGGGAGGGAAAAAACCGACCCCACA
rnacentral:rRNA from 1 species